GGGCUGCAGCUACCCAUACUUGGAGAGAGGAAGGGUUGUCAUGGUAACCUUCCUCAUUGGCCCCUUCACUUCUUCCGCCUCCUUCUUUUUAUCCCACCAUCCCCACCUCCCCACAUCUUCUAUUUCUCUUUCGCUCCACACAGGAAAACAAAACCGUAUUAGCCUCCCACACAAAGAGGCUGGACACCUCUGCAGAUGAACAUUGAAGUGAAGUGGACAUUGCUGGAAAACAAAACCGUAUUAGCCUCCCACACAAAGAGGCUGGACACCUCUGCAGAUGAACAUUGAAGUGAAGUGGACAUUGCUGGGACAGUGGCUGCAUUAUCAUUGACACUGCAACUCUGACAGCCAAGACAGCAAACCAACCCGUCAGCCAUGACAGCGGCCCCAUACCUUACCUCCAGCGACCCUCUGUCAGCUGCCAUGACUUCUAAUCGCGUCUUGACCCUGGUCAUGCCCGUGACCCCGACCCCUUACCCCUGGAUGGAGGAGGAGCACAUCCAGGUACACACCAUCCUGAUUGUCAUCAUCUUCUGCGUGGUCUGCUUCCUGCUCCUGGUGGCCUUCUUCUACGCUUUCUGCAUCCGCUGCACACUGAAGCUGUCCCCCAAAGACUCCCGGCCUGCCCACAGCUGUAGUCUGGAGCGUGAGGAUGCCACCUUCUGCCGCAGCUCCUCUGACUGCCAGUCGGUUGGGAACGUGGUCUGAAUGGAGAAGAGUACAUGAGAGAUCUAGAGAGGAAGGCUGAUAGGAGAGGAAGUCUGAGAGGAGAGGAAGGCUGAGAGGAGAGGAAGUCUGAGAGGAGAGGAAGUCUGAGAAGAGAGGAAGACUGAGAGGAGAGGAAGUCUGAGAGGAGAGGAAGUCUGAGAAGAGAGGAAGACUGAGAGGAGAGGAAGGCUGAUAGGAGAGGAAGGCUGAGAAGAGAGGAAGGCUGAGAGGAGAGGAAGUCUGAGAAGAGAGGAAGGCUGAGAGGAGAGGAAGUCUGAGAAGAGAGGAAGGCUGAUAGGAGAGGAAGGCUGAGAAGAGAGGAAGGCUGAGAGGAGAUGAAGGCUGAGAAGAGAGGAAGGCUGAGAAGAGAGGAAGGCUGAGAUGAGAAGAAGUCUUAGAGAGGAGAGGAAGGCUGAGAGAGGUUUGAUAGCUUCUAUAUUAAUACAUUUCUGAGAUUAUGCGGCCCACCGUGCAACAGUGUUCAGGAAGUAGGAAUGAUCUGUUGGGGUGUGUCAUGGAGGAGCAGUAGAAUGUUACACUACUGUGCAUAACAGGACUCCCUGACAUAAAUAAAUGAAUGGAUAUACCAUACAACUUUUAUUGCCCUUUUCUGUGAAUCUGUCUGUGAUGUGUUCUGUCUUAUAUAUGUCACUGUUUCAUGAAUAAUAUACUGUUCCUGUUUAUUGACUCGUCUGUUUUUCACACUGCUGUGUGUUAUGUGCGUUCCCAUUCCAUGCAUUAGACACUUUGUCCACUAACGCACACACACACAAACACACACAGAGACAGACACAGAGAUGCACAUAGACAGAUACACACACACACACACACACACACACACACACACACACACACACACACACACACACACACACACACACACACACACACACACACACACACACACACACACACACAGUCACACAUACACACACACACACAGAUACUAAUACAAACACACAGAUACACAAACACAGAUACAUAAACACGCACACAGAUACACACACAAAUACACAAACACACACUCAGUGUUCUGUAUGCUCGACCUUAUUGACUUGCCUGUAUGCAGUCUCUUCUUGUGUGUGACUGUAUUUUAACCCAUUUCAGUAUGUGUAUGUCAAUGAAAACAAGCUCCAUUAGACUCUCUCCAGCUAUGCCGUCACCUUGUUUUAUUUCCACACAGUGUUGACAUGUUGUUCUGAUCAGUAAGUGCAGUAGGCGAUGUCGUUCUGUUCUGUAGGCGAUGUUGUUCUAUGUUGUCUGUCAGUGUUGUGCUGUUCAGUUAGUGCAGUAGGCUAUGUUGUUCUGUUCAGUUUUCUUAUUUUUUAUUUGUGUUUUCUUAACCCUCAUUUCACCAGGUAAGUUGACUGAGAACACAUUCUCAUUUACAGCAACGACCUGUGGAAUAGUUACAGGGGAGAGGAGGGGGGAUAAAUGAGCCAAUUGUAAGCUAAGGAUGAUUAGGUGAUUAGUGCAG
rnacentral:lncRNA from 1 species